GCUUCCCUUAGCCCUUCUGCUGGAGUCCAGGUGCAGAAUCUGUUCCAUAGAGGAAAUCUCUCUGUCAGCAGACAGAGGCAGUAAUGACAUAUACGAACACAACAGUGAAAUGAAAGAGCAGCUCAUCAAGAGCACUUUGGGUUCCUGGAGAAACUUCCCACAGUGCAAAAGAGUUUCUAAGCUGUCCUGAAGAAAAAGACAAACUUGGGAGGAGCAGAAGAUCCCUUGCUUGCUGUUGGUCUUCAUUGUCAGAGCCAGUUUCUGGAAGAUCUGAAAUCUCUUCUGACAGACCCACUGGGAUCUCUGGUGGCUUGGCUGCUGAGUAGGCCUAAAAUAUGGUUGUGUGCUGUGUCCAACCACCAGCUCUCCCGGAAAGUUCCUCUUCAGAGCAGGGCAAGACUAGGACGAGAGUUCUGUCUCCCUCUUUUAUGGCAUGGAUGGACCUCAUUGGGAUGUUCUUUUUCUCCUGCUGAAAACUUCUGCCAGCACCAGGGCAUAGACAGUCGUCUGCAUGACUGUCAGUGCUGUGAUGGAUUGGAGCAGGCUGGGAAGGCAGCAAGAGGGUGGGGAACAAGGAUGGCAAGAAUGUUCUCCAACACCGUUACCACCCGGAGCUUCUAGUUACUCUUCUGUCCCAAAAGGGAGGACACUGAACCUAUGUUCUCGGGAAAAGAAAUUUAGGUGUGCACGUGAAGAUAAAUGAAUGAACGAAGGCUGGAAAAAUAUGGAUCGUGCAUUUAUGCUGCUACUCCUUAAAGCGUAAUUAGGAACUAAUUUUUUUUUCCUCUUGUCCUUUUUUCCUUUUCUUUUCCUUUCUUGGAACAUAACAGUGUCUCGAUGCGGUCACACACAUUAGGUACCUGGGGGAUAAGGUUUACAAAGGGUAAUUCAGGCUUGAAAUGGGCCAUGAGGUCUUGGCUAAAUAUUGUCAAAGAUAGGAAAGCUGCAGAUAUAGGAGCAACUGGCAUAGAUGCAGAAGAGCAAGAGGUGUCAUAGGGCUUUCAGCUGAAGAGUGUGCAGCAGGGGCUGAGUUGCAGCUCUAUGAGCUAGGGGAAAAGAAAGACUGCAAGACUCACCCCACUAAGACCCCUUCAUAAGGCCCAUUUUGUGCAAUGUUUGUUUUUUUUUCUUUUUUCCUACUUAAAUCUAGACCACUGCAGCACAGAACCAGGUACUUUGCAUCUGCAGGCAUUUCCUUGCAGCUGCAUUUUUGCAGCUGAGCUGCAAACAUUGCAAAAUAUCAUCUUAUGAAUCCUCUAAAAGCUGGGUGGUCAGAAUCCGUGAUUUAACCUCAGCAAAAUGACAGGGGAGUGUAGUUCUUUUUAAGAGAGUAUAGAGAAGCCAAAGCAUGCUUAUAAACAAUCGACUUCUUUCCCUAUCCUGUUUGCAGGUAAUGCCAUUAUCCAAGAAAAGGCUGUAUCCUACAAGGACUUGAGAAUGGUGUUACCAUUAAGUGAGCAGAUACAUUGCCUUCAGAAAAUGAUAUGUAAUGUGAAAAUUAAAUACGUAUUUAGGUGUUUUUUGGAGCUUAUUUCUAAUAGAGCCAGAUAUGGGUUACUGAAUAAUGCCUUGAAUAGUCUGGCAGCGCUUAAUGAAACUUUUUCUUUUGUAAAUUAUUUUCUGUGAAACACUUUAACUGAGUUCCAGACAAGUAGGAAGAUUAAAAAAAGGUGAAAAAUUUCAAGGAAAAAUAGAUUUCCUGAAGUUUUAGUUAAUACAUCAAGAACUUAUCUGUUACCAUAAGGCUAAAGGGUCAGUUGUUAAAUUUUUAAGUAUUUUCCUGACGUGUAUUUUUCCACAGAAAUCCGAAAAAUGUUAAGUAGCUUGGACACAGGUAUUAUUUACAGUGCAAAUCAAGAAUUCUUUUUUUUCCUCUGAACCCACAAGCCAGGAAUUUGACAUGGGAUCUGAACCACAACGACUGAAAAUUAAGGAAAGUAAAGGCUAUUCUCUUUGUCAUCACACUUCCACUUAUAGUGAUAUGCUCUUUUGUUAUUAAACAGACCCAAUC
ensembl:lncRNA